CCUACGGGAGGCAGCAGUGAGGAAUAUUGGUCAAUGGCCGAAAGGCUGAACCAGCCAAGCCGCGUGAAGGAUGAAGGUCCUAUGGAUUGUAAACUUCUUUUGUAAAGGCAUAAAAAAAGGCUCGAGAGCCUUAUUGAGUGUACUUUAAGAAUAAGCAUCGGCUAACUCCGUGCCAGCAGCCGCGGUCAUACGGAGGAUCCGAGCGUUAUCCGGAUUUAUUGGGUUUAAAGGGAUGGUAGGGGGGGUGGUAAGUCAGUUGUGAAAGGUCGGGGGUUAACCGGAGGAGUGCAAUUGAAAUUGGCAGUCUUGAGUUGUGGAGAGGUAGGCGGAAUUCGUGGUGUAGCGGGGAAAUGCUUAGAUAUUGCGAAGAACCCCGAUUGCGAAGGCAGCUUACUAGA
rnacentral:rRNA from 1 species